GAUGAACGCUAGCUGGAGGCUUAAUACAUGCAAGUCGAGCGGGAUUGGGUAGCAAUACCCAUGAGAGCGGCGCACGGGUGAGUAACGCGUACACGACCUACCUCUAACGGGGGGAUAGCCCUGGGAAACUGGGAUUAAUACCGCAUAUAAUUCUGACAAACAAAGAGUUGGAAUGAAAGUUCACGCGGUUAGAGAUGGGUGGUCGUCUGAUUAGCUAGUUGGUAGGGUAACGGCCUACCAAGGCGAUGAUCAGUAGGGGGCGUGAGAGCGUGGUCCCCCACACGGGUACUGAGACACGGACCCGACUCCUACGGGAGGCAGCAGUAAGGAAUAUUGGACAAUGGCCGCAAGGCUGAUCCAGCCAUCCAGCGUGCAGGAAGAAGGCCCUAUGGGUUGUAAACUGCUUUUGUCAGGGAAUAAACCUGUGGAUUCACUCCGCAGCUGAAGGUACCUGAAGAAUAAGCACCGGCUAACUCCGUGCCAGCCGCCGCAGUAA
rnacentral:rRNA from 1 species